rnacentral:rRNA from 1 species
GAUGAACGCUGGCGGCGUGCCUAAUACAUGCAAGUCGAGCGAAUGGAUUAAGAGCUUGCUCUUAUGAAGUUAGCGGCGGACGGGUGAGUAACACGUGGGUAACCUGCCCAUAAGACUAGGAUAACUCCGGGAAACCGGGGCAAAUACCGGAGAACAUUUUGAAACGCAUGGUUCGAAAUUGAAAGACGGCUUCUGCUGCAACUUAUGGAUGGCCCCGCGUCGCAUUAGCGAGUUGGUGAGGUAACGGCUCACCAAGGCAACGAGGCGUAGCCGACCGGAGGGGGUGAUCGGCCACACUGGGACUGAGACACGGCCCAGACUCCUACGGGAGGCAGCAGUAGGGAAUCUUCCGCAAUGGACGAAAGUCUGACGGAGCAACGCCGCGUGAGUGAUGAAGGCUUUCGGGUCGUAAAACUCUGUUGUUAGGGAAGAACAAGUGCUAGUUGAAUAAGCUGGCACCUUGACGGUACCUAACCAGAAAGCCACGGCUAACUACGUGCCAGCCGCCGCAGUAA